rnacentral:miRNA from 1 species
UGUGUAGGUUGUUCCUUGCACAACUCCAGGGGGUACUGUUCCCACUGUCGUUUAUGGGAACUCCUACUGGAGUUGUGCAAUGCACAACCUGGAC